AAGGGAGCGCAGGCGGACGGCCAAGUCCUUCUUAAAAGUUCGGGGCUCAACCCCGUGAUGGGAGGGAAACUGGUGGUCUUGAGUGCAGGAGAGGAAAGCGGAAUUCCUAGUGUAGCGGUGAAAUGCGUAGAUAUUAGGAGGAACACCAGUGGCGAAGGCGGCUUUCUGGACUGCAACUGACGCUGAGGCUCGAAAGCCAGGGGAGCGAACGGGAUUAGAUACCCCGGUAGUCCUGGCCGUAAAC
rnacentral:rRNA from 1 species